UUACGUAGCAUGCGCUUCAGGUUCCCGCGCGACGGUUGAGAAUUGGCGGAGGGGUGGGGGUAACUGGCGCGCGACCGGCGACCAACCCAGUGCUGGCGCUCGGAGUGACUCGUUGUCUCCCGCCGGCCGUCCUCGAAGCAACACCUCGCUGCUCCGCGCUCCAGAAAUGGCGCGAAAACUCCGUCGUCUCGUCGUCGUGCUGGUGGUAAGGUGUUGGGAGGGUGUCUAGCAUCAGGCAGGCUCAGGACACUGGUGUGACCACGGCGUUGUGGUGUGCCGAUCCACGCCGGGGCAGACGGCAACGUCCUCUCCACGCCAUCGCGGAGGGUACCUGCUACCGAGAGGGCAGCAGGACGUGCCGUGCCGGGGUCACCCGCGCUCGUGGGGACGAGCGGCUGACGGCGGCGGGUCCUGACAGGCGGUCCGCAGGGCAGCCCUAGAGCCGUCCCAGACGGGGACCAGUGGUGUACAGCAGGGGGUGGACGGAGGUCCCAUGCUGACGCAGCUGCGUCAGCGGACGUGGCGUCGACCGGACGUCCCGUUGGAGCGGGUCCAGCUCCGUCGUCGCACCGCUAAUGACUUCAUACAACAACUGGGCAGCAUAAGAGCAGACUUUCUCUCGCAACACCAGUGUUCCUUGCUACUGUGGAUAACAACUCAGAAGACAAUCACAUCAUCAUGUGCUGCUGAACAACAGUGACGUCACUCGCGUGACAGUGUGAUCCUCAAGAUGACAGUGCUUCGAAUUAUGUGUUACACAUCAAAAAUAAUAUUUGGCGUUCAUAAAAUUAAUUUGUGCCCAUAAUUUAUAAAAUCAAAUUCCAAAAUAAAUCAGUUCCAAUGCA